UUAAAACGCCCGUAGUAUACCUAAGAGUGGGUGUGUAGUAAUUAGUUUUACCAGAGGACGGUUGGCGAGAGUUUAUCACUCUUGUUUGCCUACUUUUGGUAGACUUUAGUCGGGCUGGAUCUUUGGUCCUCGUCUGACAGUUGCUACGUACUUACUUACCACGGUUCAUCCGUGAGGCCCUUGGCUUGCAACUGUAAAUAAAUCGUUGUGCUUAAAGCGGGCUAUGAUACUCUGCCAGAGCGAUUUAGCAUGGGACUGCAGAGUAGCUGUAUUUGAGCGAAGGUUGCACCUCGGUGUGGCUGGAGCUUGGUACAGCGCUUGUAAUGGAGCUCAGGGUGAGGCCCCGGGUACCAUGAGGCUAGAGGUGAAAUUCUGAGACCCUCAUGUGACCAACUAAGGCGAAAGCUGUCGUGGGCCACCACAAGCUCGUCUAUCAGGGACGAAAGUUGGGGGAUCGAAGACGAUUAGAUACCGUCGUAGUCCCAACUAUAAACGAUACCAACCGAGUAUUUGGGAAGACACUAUCCCAGCGAUCUUCUCAGAACUCAAGGGAAACCUUAAGUCUUUGGGUUCUGGGGGGAGUAUAGUCGCAAGACCGAAACUUAAAGGAAUUGACGGAAAGGCACCACCAGGAGUGGAGUCUGCGGCUUAAUUCGACUCAACACGGGGAAACUCACCAGGUCAGGACACAAGUUUGAUUGACAGGUUAAUAGCCCUUUCUUGAUUGUGUGGUGGGUAGUGCAUGGCCGUUUCCAGUUCGUGGAGUGAUCUGUCUUGUUAAUUCAGAUAACGAACGAGACCUAAGCCUUUAACUAGCCGUAGGCCUUUUCCUUCGGGGAAGGGUUAGUUUGUCGGAACAGGUUUCGGCCUGUUCCAAAACCUACGAGACUUUUGUCAGCUUCUUAAAGGGACUUCAUUCGUAAACUAGGAUGAGGAAGAUUUAGGCCAUAACAGGUCUGUGAUGCUCUUAGAUGUCCUGGGCUGCACGCGUACUACAAUAACGGUACCAGCGAGCGCUAUGGUUUUAUAACCCCUUAUCCUAAUAGGAUUGGGAAAACUUUUCAAACACCGUUAUGACAGGGAUCGAGGAUUGGAACAUCCUCGUGAACGAGGAAUUCCUAGUAAGCGUGGUUCAUCAUACCACAUUGAUUACGUCCCUGCCUUUUGUACACACCGCCCGUCGCUCCUACCGAUGGGACGAAGAGAUGAACCUGGCGGACCGAACCGCAAGGUAAGGGAAACCAGUUAAAUCUCUUCGUCUGUAGGAAGGAAAAGUCGUAACAAGGUCUUCGUAGGUGAACCUGCGUAGGGAUCAUUU
rnacentral:ncRNA from 1 species